rnacentral:rRNA from 1 species
GAGCCUGAGAAACGGCUACCACAUCCAAGGAUGGCAGCAGGCGCGCAAAUUACCCAAUCCCGACACGGGGAGGUAGUGACAAUAAAUAACAAUACGGGGUUCUUUAGGAUCUCGUAAUUGGAAUGAGUACAAUUUAAAUCUCUUAACGAGGAACAAUUGGAGGGCAAGUCUGGUGCCAGCAGCCGCGGUAAUUCCAGCUCCAAUAGCGUAUAUUAAAGUUGUUGCAGUUAAAAAGCUCGUAGUUGAAUUUCGGGGUUAGUAGGUUGGUCAUGCCUCUGGUAUGUACUGGUCUCACUGACUCCUCCUUCCUUAUGAACCGUAAUGCCAUUAAUUUGGUGUUGCGGGGAAUUUGGACUGUUACUUUGAAAAAAUUAGAGUGUUUAAAGCAAGCUAACGCUUGAAUACAUUAGCAUGGAAUAAUGAAAUAGGACGUUCGAUCUUAUUUUGUUGGUUUCUAGGAUUGACGUAAUGAUUAAUAGGGAUAGUUGGGGGCAUUAGUAUUCAAUUGUCAGAGGUGAAAUUCUUGGAUUUAUUGAAGACUAACUACUGCGAAAGCAUUUGCCAAGGAUGUUUUCAUUAAUCAAGAACGAAAGUUAGGGGAUCGAAGACGAUCAGAUACCGUCGUAGUCUUAACCAUAAACUAUGCCGACUAGGGAUCGGAUGAUGUUAAUUUUUUAAUGACUCAUUCGGCGCCUUACGGGAAACCAA